AAUAUGCUUCCUCCGUUUGGGAAUACUUGUCAUCAAAAUGAAUAAAAGGAGAUGUAUCUAGACGUAUUUUAGUUCUAGAUAUGUUCCUUUUUAUCUAUUUCGAUGACAAAUAUUUUUGGACGGAGAGAGUACUUA
rfam:Triticum aestivum genome assembly, contig: Triticum_aestivum_CS42_TGACv1_scaffold_227376_3B